rnacentral:rRNA from 1 species
GAUGAACGCUGGCGGCGUGCCUAAUACAUGCAAGUCGAGCGAACAGACGAGGAGCUUGCUCCUCUGUCGUUAGCGGCGGACGGGUGAGUAACACGUGGAUAACCUACCUAUAAGACUGGGAUAACUUCGGGAAACCGGAGCUAAUACCGGAUAACAUGUUGAACCGCAUGGUUUAACAGUGAAAGACGGUCUUGCUGUCACUUAUAGAUGGAUCCGCGCCGCAUUAGCUAGUUGGUAAGGUAACGGCUUACCAAGGCAACGAUGCGUAGCCGACCUGAGAGGGGGAUCGGCCACACUGGAACUGAGACACGGUCCAGACUCCUAAGGGAGGCAGCAGUAGGGAAUCUUCCGCAAUGGGCGAAAGCCUGACGGAGCAACGCCGCGUGAGUGAAGAAGGUCUUCGGAUCGUAAAACUCUGUUAUUAGGGAAGAACAAAUGUGUAAGUAACUAUGCACGUCUUGACGGUACCUAAUCAGAAAGCCACGGCUAACUACGUG